UUAAAUUGAAGAGUUUGAUCAUGGCUCAGAUUGAACGCUGGCGGCAGGCCUAACACAUGCAAGUCGAACGGUAACAGGAAGCAGCUUGGCUGCUUUGCUGACGAGUGGCGGACGGGUGAGUAAUGUCUGGGAAACUGCCUGAUGGAGGGGG
rnacentral:rRNA from 1 species